rnacentral:lncRNA from 1 species
CACCUUGAUCUAAAUUGUUCUAAGUUGGGGCCCUUGUGCUUCAUACCUGAACAUCGAAGAUCAAUUCCCUCCUUGCUUGGACCCUUUCAUUUUUGAUAAACGCUUUGACUUUUAAACGGUUAAGCCAUUGUUCGCAACGAACAUGGCUACGAGCCCAGUAAAAGCUAUCUGUACUUGCUUGGUGGUAUACGGCUGGGAUAAAUUUUAUAAAUUUGCUCAGGUGCUAAUCGGAAUAGGCUGGCUACUCCUAGCAUCAAUAAAGAGUCUCACAAGCUUAGAUGCCUAAAGUCUGUUGAACAAUGUUUCAUUUAUCUUUGAUCCGCAUGUGGAUCCUUUACUUUCCGUUUGUAAUACUUUGAUAUUACUUGAUAUCGGGUUGUAAUAUAUUCAUCUUUUGCUUCCGCUGUGCAUUUUAAAUUGUGUUGUUUGACUAUGAUGAUAUCAACUACGUCACGAUACUCCCCACCGGGCCCAC